UUAUGAUGAUAUUUUUAUAUAUAAAAUCAAUUAAAAAAUAAUAAGAUUUUGAAAAGAAUGACAAAUCUCAGGCUUUAUAAAUCCUUUGUCUUCGCUUGUUCAUCUCUGUGCUAUCCCAUACAGGUAUAUUCUGGUUUAGGUAGUGGGCUUUUGUUUUUUAGCUAAUUUUAAGCCAUCAAAAUUCUAUGUUCUUUCAAAUAAUUUGUGGUUUUAAGAAUAUUAAUUCAGAUAUCGAAUGUAAUUCUAAAACUAGAAAUUUGUUUCAUCAAAAAGAGUAAGCUUGAAUUUUUUACUUAAGUUUCAGUUUAGGAUUUCGGUUUUGAUUUUUAAAUUUAAUGUUGAAAGCCUUGAACUGAAACCCUAGACAAAUUAUUGUACAACCUAAAUGUCAUGGAAUCAAUGGAAAGAUUUCUUUCAAUGUGCUAAAGACAAAAAUUCAAAUUUAUAUUGCUUGAUUAUG
rnacentral:lncRNA from 1 species